rnacentral:lncRNA from 1 species
UGGUUCCAAGAGCUGAACGGGUUUGGGGUGGGGCAGUGGGAAGGAAGAGGCAGGAGAGAGGGAGAGAUCCUGGCACCUAGGAAGCAUUCCUUCUGUUUGCACAGAAUGAGACAAGACCAGCCUGUAGUAAUUACACUCAGAACGGGGGAACAGAUUGCCAGGGGAUACGGUGGCUAAACAGCCCGGCGCCUCCCCGGAGUGCAGGUCAAGCAGAAGAGCAAGCUGGACAGAUGCAGCUGGCGGGGCCUCUGGGGUCGGAUGCUGAAGCUUCGGACACCACAUCCUCUCAGCACACAGAUGUGCAGAGUGAAGACAACAGGGAACCCAAAGCUGACCUACAGUGGUCAGAGAAGAAUCCCAGGAAUGUGCCUUCCCAGUAUACAGCCAUAGUUCCUGACCUACAAAUGAUGUUGAUUUUAUCGGACUCAAACUACUCUGUUGGACCCACAGGAGGUCUGACUUCUAUUCGAGGACCGUUUUGCUAUCACCUGGCUCCUCUGGUCUGGAAUCACCCCAGAGCCUUUCCUCUGUGA